AGGAUUAGUUUAAGUGAUGGCAGCAGAAGUGACAGCUCCUCCCAUUCCCCGCUGUCGUGCAGUGAGGCCCCGCCCUUAUUAAAGUCUACUAAUAACCAGAUAGUGGAAGUAAAAAGUCCCACCAAGCAGAGCAAACAAGACAAAAGCAUGGAGUGUGAUAAGGUUUACCUGGAUGAGCUGGUGGAGCUGCAUAAAAGACUAAUGACACUAAGAGAAGGUCACAUACUGCAACAGAUUGUAAACCUGAUUGAAGAGACCGGACACUUCCACAUUACAAACACUACGUUUGACUUUGACCUUUGCUCUUUGGACAGAAGUACAGUAAGGAAGCUGCAGAGCUAUCUCGGGACGUCCUGAGGCACGCAGCAGUUGGGUGCUGGAUCCGAGCCUCUGACUCGUCCUGAAUCAGUUCCAGCUGUAGUUGGCGUGUCUAAACCUCACAGUGGGUCCAGCCUGCUGCUUCGACCCCCCCUGAACAAAGAGUUCACCCUGCUGCAGAAAUCGGGGGUAGAUGUACGAGAUCAGGAUGUCAGCAGGCAACAAUCUGAAAACUUGAUAUGAAGGGUUGGUGGGUGGGAGUGAUUCUGCUGCCAUGUAUGUUGUUGUUUAUCGUGACAAAUGCAUGAUCAACUUUGCCUUACAACUUUGUACGUCUUAUUUAUUAAAUUUAAUUUGCAGGUGUGUGCGUGUGUGUUGGGUGGAAAAAAGUGAAACAGGACUUUGUUGAAGAGCUCUAGAAGGCACAAGUCUGACCAGUAACACUACUCUACUUCGGUCUCCGAUCAGAUAUCUGAUUCAUUCAUUUCCCUGGGAUCAAACAGCGUCCGCACAGAUGCAUCUCUGUUGUUCUGUUUUGUUGUGUGCGACCUCACAGUUUGCAAAGACGUGUGAAAUAUGAAGAAGAAUCCAGCUGGAGGUCUGGAUACAAAGUGACACAUCAGUUGAGAGCGCCGUCGUCUGAAAACUAAAAGUUGAGAAGUUUCUCCAGUUUGUUCUGGAGUUAAAGCUUUAAAAAAAACUUUAUUUGUAAGUGUGUCUUUAUUAAAGCCACCUUUAUGCAAACUCUGAA